rnacentral:lncRNA from 1 species
CCCAAGUCGUCGGCCGAAGACCAGCCAUGGCGAUCUCCCUCCGCCUCCUCCUCCCCCUUCUCCUCCUCCUCCACCUCUUACACUUCUCGGCCUCCUCGUCCUCGGGGGUGCACGACGUCCUCAAGGAUCACGGCCUCCCCAAGGGCCUCAUCCCGCACUCCGCCAGGGACUACUCGCUCGCCGACGACGGCCAGUUCGUGGUGCAUCUCAAGGCCCCCUGCUACGUCCAGUUCUCCGACCUCGUCUACUACGACCAGACCAUCACAGGCAAGCUCUCCUACGGCGCCAUCACCGACCUCGACGGCAUCCAGGUCAAGAAGCUCUUCGUCUGGUUCCCCGUCUCGGCCGUCAAGGCCCACCCGGAAUCCAAGACCAUCGAGUUCAAGGUGGGGUUCCUCUCUCAGUCGUUUCCCCUUAAGGAGUUCAAGGACGUUCCCGAUUGCGAGAAGAAGACGAGGACCUCCUGCCGUGGCGCCACCGGCUUCUCCCACGAGGAAUUGCUUCCGGUUGCUGCGGUACAACAACCGUUUCCCUAAUCUUCUGCCAGUUUAGUAGAUGUGUCGUACAGUUCUAUUGCUAAUUUAAAGAUGAGAUCCAUAGGAAAGGAGUCGGCUUAGGGGGGUUUUAAGAGAGAAAUAGGUGAUCUGAUUUGAAAUAAGGCAAGCCUUUUCCUCUCUAUGUAACUUGAGAGACUGAGAAAGUAGACUCCUGCAUCUUCUUAAAUUGGUCUGUUUGGCUUGCUAAUCCUUUUCCCCCUUUUCCCCUCCCUAUUUAGGGUGUGCUUUAAGCAUUCAAACUUGCCUUAGUUCACCAGCAUCCACUAGUGUUUGCUAUGGUAGAUUUAAUAUUUAUGCCAGGAGUCACUAUUAACGUUGACAUCAUCUCUAUUCUUUUCUAUAAAACCGCAUCACUAGAAUAGAAACAUAGUAGAAAAUUACCAAUCGAUCAAAGUUGCCAACCUUCAGCAACUCUAAAGUGAGGAGCUCAAUCGAAAUUAGCUCUCAGGGCUUAGUGGAUAAGACUUUGACUGCAGCUGAAGAGUCUGGUUUAUCAGUUAAAGAAGCAGGCAAAUCAGCUUAUUUGGUUGGGUCCUUUCUUUUAAUUUUUC